ACGGUCCUGUGUAUUAAUUGCAUUGUGGCCCUGUGCUGGUGUGUUCAGGGGUCUGACAUCUCAAGCUGACCAUGUGACAGUGAUCCCUCCCAGUUGGAGGGGUUCAUGUGAAAUAAACUUCAGUUCCCCUUCAGCCCAGUAUUACAGCCAAUCUUUGCCUCAAAUUGGAACUAAACUGAGUCUCAUAAGCAAGGAGAAAUGAAUCUUCAUAAGUUUUACCUUGAUUAAUGGCAGCAAGUGUUUCUCUCAGCACUGUGUUCAACAAAUAGGGGUGAUCGAAUUUUUCAAGCGUUAGGGCCUCAUCUGUCAUUGUCAAUUCCUGGACAUUAUCGUUAAUCCUGUAAAUAUUAAACUGCUAUUAUAAACUGCAAUUUUGAACUAUUUUACAAAUCCAGAUAGGGUUUCAGUGAAGAGCAUGUCCUACCUCCUGUUCUGACGAGCUUCCUCCUGAAAUAAAUAAAAACACAAAUCUGUUUAGACUUGGACUUACUGUCCACAUCCUGAACUUUAUCCAAAUCAUUACAAGGUGUUGGAAAUUCCCUCUCCUGCAGUCACUCACAUGCACGGACAAUACAGAACCAUGGGUAAAUUACAAGGAAAGUUUCUGGAAGUUAGGCCAUUCCUGAGAGGAUGAAACUUACAAGAAAGACAGGACAGGGUGUGCAUUUUCAUCUGGAUAUGACAUCAGGGUGAUAAGAUGGGAGAAUUUAAGAUCAGUGAUGUAUUUGAUUGUAUGCAGGUGGAGAAAGUAUUUCUAUUUAUGGGGAGAUGAAAUUCCAGUUGGAUUUUAAUAAAUCCCACAAGAAACUUAUGGAAGCGGAUGUGGAACUCAGUGCCACAGGAGUGUUUGAAGUGGGACAGCUGAGAUUGAUGGUAAUGCAGAAAUUAGACAAACACAUGAGGGACCAAGGAAUUCAGGGCACUGUUGCUGGGUGUGGUGAGUAGGUGGGAAGAGGAUUGUGAAGCAGGGAAAUUGAUAGAAGCUGGACCGAAUGGCCUGCUUAUGAUGGGGAAUGAGAUAUAACCUCAUGUAAUACAGUGGAAAAAGUGAAGUGGGAUCGGAAGGACCUUUCCCUGGAAGACUAUUGAAGUCAUGUGGUGAAAUCAGAGGCCACAGGCCUGAUCAACCCCCGGCCCUGGACAGGGGUCUCUGGCGAGCUGCUGUUGGUGGCCUGUGCCCCAGUAGGCGUGAUGGGUUAAAGAAGAAGCAGAACAGAAAUGAAGCUGGAGAGAAGAGCUUGGUUCAGUCUGAGGUGUGACUGAAAGGGGCAAGUUCUGAAAAGAGAGGCACGAGACUGCAGAUACUGGAAUCUCGAGUAAGAAACGUGAUGCUGGAUGAACUGAGCAGGUCAGGCAGUGUCUGUGGAGGGAAAUGGACAAUCGACAUUUUGGGUUGAGACAGUCCAAAUGAAGGAUCUCGACCUGGAAAUUCGAUUGUACAUUUCUCUCCACAGACGCUGUCUGACCCAUUUAGAUCAUUCAACAGUGUGUUUUGAUUUUUUCUCGAGGUCUAAAGAGAGUGAGACUGGAGUGUAAAAGUGGGAUUUAGUAAAUAUUGAAAGAAGCUAUUAAAUUAGCUCAUGCUGGGUAAUUCGGGAUGUGGAGACACUAUUGUGCUGUGAGGAGACAGAUGCAGUGGUGAUGACUGACCCAUGGCUGCAGGGAAAAACACAGGACUGGACAUUCUAGUUCACAAGGCAGAAAAUAUUUUUUGUGAAAUCCUGAGGAAGCUUUCUGACUUUACCCAUGUCUGUCCCAGCUCCAAUGGAAGGUCAGUUUUCACAACUCUAGAUGCAGCCCAGAAGUUUAUCAAAACAAACUUUAUUCACCAUGAAAUGUUCACAAGGAUAAACCAUGCAAUGCCUUUACCUGAAGAUCAGUGAUCCUUCUGUCAUGCAGCUGCUGUGGCGCAGGUCUUUGCAUCUUUCUCCACAUAUAUUCGCCAGCCCACAGACCACAAAGAGCCUGUCGGAUUGGAGGGGGAGCGGUGAGAGCUCCGGAGAUCCAUCAGCAGCCGCUGCGGUUAUUUCAGGUCUCAUUAUUUAUUGCUAUUGACUUAUAUCUGCAUUUGCGUGGCUUGUUGUCUUUUGCACUUCGAUUGAUUUUUCCCUGAUCCAGUUAUAGUUACUAUUGUGUGGAUUUUCUGAGUAUAGUGGGGUAUGUCAGGAAUGGUCAGGAGGAAGAGUAAAGGAAACUGAUACAGGACUUUGUGAUAUGGUGCAACUCAGACUACCUGCGUCUCAAUAUCACCAAGACCAAGGAGAUGGUGGUGGACUUUAGGAGACCUAGGCCUCAUAUGGAGCCAGUGAUCAUUAAUGGAGAAUGUGUGGAGCAGGUUAAGACCUACAAGUAUCUGGGAGUGCAGUUAGACGAGAAGCUAGACUGGACUGCCAACACAGAUGCCCUGUGCAGGAAAGCACAGAGUCGACUGUACUUUCCUCAGAAGGCUGGCAUCAUUCAAUGUUUGUAGUGAGAUGCUGAAGAUGUUCUAUCGGUCAGUUGUGGAGAGCGCCGUCUUCUUUGUGGUGGCGUGCUGGGGAGGCAGCAUUAAGAAGAGGGACGCCUCAAGUCUUAAUAAGCUGGUAAGGAAGGUGGGCUCUGUUGUGGGCACAGAACUGGAGAGUAUGACAUCGGUGGCAGAGCGGAGGGCGCUGAGUAGGUUACGGUCAAUCAUGGAAAACCCUGAACAUCCUCUGCACAGCACCAUCCAGAGACAGAGAAGCAGCUUCAGCGGCAGGUUGCUGUCAAUGCAAUGCUCCUCAGACAGGAUGAAGAGAUCAUUACUCCCCAACGCCAUUCGGCUCUACAAUUCAACCACCAGGGGCAAGACAUGUUAAGUGCCGGGGUUAGGACUGAGCUUAAGUUACCACUCAAUGCACUUUAGUAAACUAUUUAAGAACUUUUUAAAAGCUAUUUAUUAAUGUUUUUUUGGGAGGGUGAUUUUAGAUGCAUAUCAUAUUUAUACUGAGUUAAAUACUGUAUGUAAUUAGUUUUGCUACAAUAAGUGUAUGGGACACUGGAAAAUGUUGAAUUUCCCCUUGGGGAUGAAUAAAGUAUCUAUCUAUCUA